GUACGGGGCUGUGGCCGGUCAGGUCGUGCACGGUGCAGCUGUCGGUCUCCCAGUCUGGUCCCGUGGUCGUGGGCGGCACGCGCUGCAGAGGCAAGCCGAGCCCCGGUGAGCCGAGCCCGGGGGGCGGGCAGGCUCCGGCACCACGGCUGGGCGCGGGCUCCUUACCUGGGCGGCGCCCUCCUCCUUGGUGGCCGCAGCCCCGGCCCGGCCCUGGGGCCACUGAUCCACGUGAGUCAGUUCCACCUCCUGCUCCUCGUCGCGCCCGGCCGCCUCCUUCCUCUGCGGGGACCGGCACGGAGCUCAGCCCCCGGCCCCAGCAAGCCGCCCGGAGCGGGGGUGGGGGGGGGGCGCCGGGGAGGGCCGCUGGCCCAGGAAACCCACCUGGUCCAGGGGCUGGUGAGUGCACAGCUUGAGGAGUGAGGUCACGGUGUAGUAGAGGAGCAGCAGGACGCCGGGGCUCACGUACACGGGCCAGUCGUGGCUGGUAUCGAGGACCAGCACGUUGGGACCGGAGCAGUUGCUGUAGGCCACCAAGGCCUUGAGGCCGAACACCCUGCCCAGAGAAGGCGAGCCGCUGAGCCGGGCCGCGGGAGGCCAGGGCCAGGCCAGGGGAGGGGGGGGGGAGGGGGAAGGGAGGGGGAGGGGAGGGAGAGGGGGAGGGGGCCGGCGCAGGCAGGCCUCACCUGGCCCAGAUGCCGGCCGGGGGCAGCACGGCCUGGGCGAAGGGCGUCUGGUAGCAGUAGACGCAGAUGAGGUGGCCGGCGCUGAAGCAGCCCACCAUGACGCAGAGCGUGCUGGAGCCCAGGGGGCCGAUGGGAAAGUGGCAGGCCCACCAGGUGCAGGUGGCCAGGAAGACCAGGAAGUAGACGCCGGAGAAGGCCGAGGGCUGGGCGAUGCCUGCGGGACGGGACGGGGCGGAGGCGUCAGGUCCGGGCCACGUGGCGGCCGGUGGGGAGCCCGGCAGGCUGCGGAGACCCCUCCCCGCGUGCCGGUUGGCGCCGGGACCCCGCCCCUUGCCCAGCGGGUACCUGCCAGCGCCAGCAGCAGGAUGGCCAGCGUCCGUCCGGCGGCCACCAGCAGCCAGUGGGCCGUGACCUGGAACCGGGUGGCCAGCCGAGACCUCUGCUUGGGGGCCGGCCCGGGGGCUCCGCGAGGCCCCGCCGGGGAGCCGGCGUCGGCUUCCCUGUCCUCAUCGUCCUGCCGAGGUCGUGGGGAGGGGCAGAGGUCAGGUGCACGGCACUCGGGCCACACAAGCGGGGAGGAGGCCUCCCUCGAGUUCACAGGCCCUCCUGGAGGUGGGGCCCGGGCCCGGCCCGUGGUGACGGCUGGCCCCGGGUUAUUCCGGAACCCCGCGAGUGCCUCUUUACUUCCCUUUCUAGAUCAGGGGGACCCCCAGGGCAGGGCAGGCCCAGCAGAUUCCGGCACACGCCCUCGAAGCCCCUGGGUCCUGAGAGGCCCGAGUGCUGAUUUUUAGAGAAAAUACACCAUGUCACCGCCCUUCACGGUUUACAGAGCACCUUCACGUCUGUGCCUCACGGUCCUGUGGCUGAAGCAGCACUUUCCUCGUGGGUAGAGAAACGGGGGCGCGGAGGAGACCGUGAGGGGCACCCGGUU
rnacentral:lncRNA from 1 species